CACGUAGGGCGCAAGCGUUGUCCGGAAUCAUUGGGCGUAAAGAGCGUGUAGGCGGCUCGGCACGUCCGUUGUGAAAUCGCCCGGCUCAACUGGGCGGGGUCAGCGGAUACGGUCGAGCUUGAGCAAGCUAGGGGGUAAUGGAAUUCCCGGUGUAGUGGUGGAAUGCGUAGAUAUCGGGAGGAACACCAGUGGCGAAGGCGGUUACCUGGGCCGAUAUUGACGCUGAGGAGCGAAAGCGUGGGGAGCGAACAGG
rnacentral:rRNA from 1 species